AGGUAUGAGGACAAUCUGACUGUGACAUCUGUCACUCCAUGAUCGUCAGGGUUGAGUGGGUGAAUCUGGGUGGUCAGGAGGGAUCCUAUUUCCCACUCAUUGCUCUGUGCGCUUCCCACUUGAAGGCAAACCCUUAGCUGAAGAAUCCCUCCAGGAAGAGAGCAGUUCUUCACUCAAGGGUAAUGGAGUAGCUAUGCUCCCCUGCUAGAGCCUCCAAACACACUGAAAAACAGAUUACAAAGUAAGACCACCUUUCUAAAGUCAGGCAUAGUGGUAUGACCCUGAAAUUC
rnacentral:snRNA from 1 species